rnacentral:misc_RNA from 1 species
GUCCGGGCGUCCACUUCGCGCCAACGGGGUAGAUAAUCUAGGUGCCUGCCCCUGUUGCGUUAUCAAUCCAAGGAAUUUCACAACAAUCGUUGCUUGAUUGCAGUUGCUGGGAUUGAAGCCGCCUUGGUCUUCAACAAUUCCACAGAUCUGAGAUUCUCAGCAACCAGGAUAUCUAAGUAGCUGCUUCAGAGGACCAACAGCCGUUUUGAGCCUCGUUUUGGGGAUAAUUCGCCGGCAAAUUGCGACCCCAUCAUUGAAUUGGUUGGUAUCUGGCCGACGGUUCAGCCGCUGGAGUGGUUGUUGGGGGAUCCUUUUGCUUAGUUUUCUGGAUUGCGGUUUUUUGAAGCUACUGCGACCGGCCACUAUGGCUUUCUCGAUGACCCCGUUGCUGAACGGAGAGAGAGCCGUGGUCCUAUUCUUCAUCACCAGCGUCUUGGUUUCUCUCCCGUUCUCCCUCCUCUAUCAUGGUCUUGCUCUCUCUUUUCUUACCCUGUCCGCUCUUUGCGUCGAAAUCCAAGUAGAGAGUUCCAAUUCUCUUCAUCAAUUUAAGACCAGGCCAGGUGCUUCAUCGGGA